UGGGGAAUAUUGCACAAUGGGGGAAACCCUGAUGCAGCGACGCCGCGUGAGUGAAGAAGUAUUUCGGUAUGUAAAGCUCUAUCAGCAGGGAAGAAGAUGACGGUACCUGCAGAAGCAGCCCCGGCUAACUACGUGCCAGCAGCCGCGGUAAUACGUAGGGGGCAAGCGUUAUCCGGAUUUACUGGGUGUAAAGGGAGCGUAGACGGAUUUGCAAGUCAGAUGUGAAAGGCGGGGGCUUAACCCCCGGAUUGCAUUUGAAACUGCAGAUCUUGAGUACCGGAAGGGCAGAUGGAAUUCCUGGUGUAGCGGUGAAAUGCGUAGAGAUCAGGAGGAACACCGGUGGCGAAAGCGGUCUGCUGGACGGUAACUGACGUUGAGGCUCGAAGGCGUGGGGAGC
rnacentral:rRNA from 1 species